CGAUUAGCUCAGUUGGUUAGAGCACCUGCCUUACAAGCAGGGGGUCACAGGUUCGAGUCCUGUAUCGCC
rnacentral:tRNA from 1 species